AGAAAACAGACAUUUACUGGGAGUGGCGAGAUCACACAGACUGAAGAGAUAAGCAGGAGGGAGACUGAAAACCGAGCAAGGUCAGGCAGAGACAGAGGGAAGGAUGAGGAGCCUGCAUCAGCUCCAGGGAUUCUUUUUUUUUUUUUUUGGUACCAGGAAUUGAACUCGGGAUCGUCUGCUUGCAAAGCAAGCAGUGGAACCACUCAGCUAAAUCCCCGGCAAGCCCCAGGCAUUCUUUCAGGAAGGAAAACAGGCCAUGAGCUUUGUUGUGUCUGCCCAGAUGCUGUCCAGCUUUAUUUGCAGUGCUGGGGUUUGAACCCAUGGCCUCGUAUGCACUAGGUAAACAGUCCACCACUGAACCACAGCCCCAGCCUGAUUUAGCCCUCAUAAAGUCAUUCUGGACCCAGCCUCGCCGUGUGGCUCAAACAUGCCUCUCUUUGAUAACAGAGAGAAGGGAUCUACCUGCCAGAAGUGGCGUGGCUGAGGAAGGGGGUCCCCGUAAGACAACUCCAUCCACUCGGCUCCACCGAGUGCCCCUCAAUCCCACUUCUGCUUUGCGAGCUGACCCACUGAGUGGAGAUGGCUAGAAAGCCAGGGAUGAGGGAUCAAGACUUCCAGGGAAGCCACAGGGCACGAGCCUAAGACAGAGGUAAGUAUACACUCCAGCUGUGCAGCUACGGGACCUGCCACUGUUCUCUGCUCUACUGCCACGGAGCAGAUGAGUAAAGACCGUAAGAUGCAGAUUUGGAGAAGAUACCAUGUUUCUUCUAGCAACAACAAAAAGAGAUGAUCAGAGAAAUAAAAAUUGAACAAGAAAGACAUGCACUGUGUACAGAACUAAUGGAGAUGUGGUAUGGUUUUGAGCAAUUGUUGAAUCUGGAAAACCCUUCUGAAUGGAUCUCUGAAUGGGUUGAGGGACAAAGCACUGGACUACUGGAGAGGGAUUUAUCCUGGCAGGAAACACGAGACAAGGAGUCCAGACAAUAUAUACUGUGAGUUGUUCUUAUGAAUUCUUUUUCUGGUGCUGGGGAUGGAACCCAGAGCCUUGUGCAUGCCAGGCAAGCACUCUACUGCUGAGUUGUUGGUAACUGGGCUUUCACCUCCAGAAUCAACCCAUGGGCAAGGAGGACUCAGCUUUGCAGACUGCAGUGUAAAUGUCAUCCAAACUGAUAAUCCAGAGCUGGAAGUGGAGCUGACCUCAGUGGGAAAGGGGGACAAGUGACAGAUUUAACAGCCUCCCCUUACAAAGGAGGAAGCCACAAGAUGCCGAACCAGAAAUAAGUACCUAAGCAGGCAACUGUUUCCCUGCCUCCAAAGGGAGAGGAGCGGAGCCUCCAGAGGUGCUGAGCCAACAGAACAGAGGCUGUUAAAUUUUUCGGAAUUUUGUGAAACUGAACUAAAACAAACUGAAUUACAACCUCCAGUUAAACGAACUACAGUACAAAUAAAGAUACCACAGCUCACUGCCUUUCUUUUUUUUUUGCGGUACUGGGAAUUGAAUUCAGGACCUGGCGCUUGCCAGGCAGGCAUGGCGCCACUGAGCUACAUCCCCAGCCCUAACUCACUGCUUCUUAAUGUGACACGUCGCUAUGAUCAAUGAGGUUGCCUGUAUCUACCAGGAGCACCUGCAGGCAUGCAGGAUGCAGACACACAGAGGCCCUAACACACAGCUUAUCCCAACCCUGUGUUCAAGCUCCACAUCCACGGAUGUCUUGGUCAGCCUGGAAUCAGCCACACUGGGAGCAUUUAUAUCCCAGAAAAUGGCAACAGCAGGGCCUUCAUCCCAGCCCCUUGGUACUGAACACUGAGUCCAGCGAGCACUGAGCUACAUCACCAGCCCUUUUGUAAAUUCUGAGACAGGGUCUAAGUUGCUCGGGAUGGCCACACACUUUUGAUCCUCCUGCCUCAGCCUCCCAAGGAGCUGGGAUUACAAGUGUGUGCACCACUGCAUCACCCUGCCCAGCCAAAGCAGGACCUCUUACGUCCACACAGAGGAGGCUGCUGGAGCACUGACCGGCAUACUGGGAUGGGGCUUCCCAUUAGAGAUCCAAUUUUAUCGGACAUGGUAUGCAUUCCUUAUCUGAAACAACUGGAACCAGAAGUGUUUCCAGUUUUCUAUUUCUUUAGAUUUUGGAAUAUCUGCAGACUUUACUGGUUAAGAAUCUUUCAGCCUUUACCAGUUGAGUACAACUUAUUAGCACACUGGUCCUGAAGGUUUUAGAUUUUAGAUUUUUACAUUAGGGAUGUCCAACUGAUCCUUAUAUAUACAUACUGUAUUUUAAAACAUGAGCAUAUAAUACUUAGAAAAAAAUUCUAAUUUUGCAAAUGAGAGCAGAUAAACGCGAACAAGAAAGCAACAAGCCAAGCUGGGCCGUGAGCCUAGGGAUGCGUCUCCAAGAGGCAAAGCAGUGCAGGCGGCAGGCGUCUUACCAAAGGCUUUGGCCACGGAUAUGCUCUCCAGCAGCCCCAUCAGGGGCACCACAGCCAGCCCUGCUCCCAUGUCCUGAGAGAGGAGACAGGGGAGUCGAUGCUGAAUGAAAGCUCAGACUUCGGGGAGCAACUCUACAGGAUCAAACCCAGGCUGGAAGGGACAUCGUCACCCGACCCCAGCGUCCCUUCCCUACCAAGCUCCUUGCAUUCACCCACUGCCUUGAGGCUGCAGAACAGAACCUGGUGGUGACCACAGUGAGUUGGGGACCAGCCUCGGCUGAUGGAAAUGACCCAAGUGCUAACCCCAACCACUCCUCUCUCUCGCUGUUGUUGAUUUCCUGCCUGCGCCCCCGCCAACAGCGGGGCCACGCUCAGGUCGUUUUCGCUCCCAGUAAAGUUCAGAGAUGAUGCUGCCGUCCUGCUCUCCUAUUCGUGCCUUCCUCUGUGGGCGUCACCAACCAGCACCCAGCCUCCCCGGAGAUGGCCCUCAGCUCGCCGCAGCCUCUCCCCUGUACCUGCCAUGAACACGACCCGCAUACCCCACGCCUACAGCCAACCCUUCCCUCCCAGCAAGUGCACAGUUUGAACACCGCCUCCUAGCCCUGUGGAAUUUGCUUUCUCCCCCAGCAACCCUGUAGAUGGAGUUCUUCAAACCUGGGCGCUACCAAUGUGUGGGGUCAGCUGACUCCACUGCAGGAGGCUGAGGGCCGCAGGACACUCGGGCAUCCCUGGCCUCUACCCACUAGAUGCCAGCAACAGCCUCC